GACGAACGCUGGCGGCGUGCUUAACACAUGCAAGUCGAACGGAAAGGCCUUCUUUCCCUUGUGGAUUGCGGGUGCUCGAGUGGCGAACGGGUGAGUAACACGUGACUUAUCUUCCCCCAACUUUUGUAUAAGCCUGGGAAACUAGGUCUAAUUCCCGAUAGGACUGCAGGGUGGUGCCUGUGGUUGAAAACGAUUUUCUAGUGGUUGGGGAUGAGCUCGCGGCCUAUCAGCUUGUUGGUGGGGUAAUGGCCUACCAAGGCGGCGACGGGUAGCCGGCCUGGGAGGGGGGACGGCAACAGUGGGACUGAGAUACGGCACAGACUACUACGGGAGGCAGCAGUGGGGAAUAUUGCACAAGGGGCGGAAGCCUGAUGCAGCGACGCCGAGUGGGGGAUGACGGCCUUCGGGUUGUAAACUCCUUUCGACCGCGAGGAAGCCACCUGGUUGGAAGGGUGGUGACGGUAGUGGUAGAAGAAGCACCGGCUAACUACGUG
rnacentral:rRNA from 1 species